CUAAAGUUUACCAUAGCCGACGAAAAUUUAACUUAGCCGAUGAAAGAUAAUUUCGUCGGCUAAAGUGGACUUUAGCUGACGAAAAAAUGCUUCGUCGGCCUGGUUUUUUUUUUUCAUCGGCUAAAGCCUUUCUUCUGGUAGUGAGAUUUGAUCAAAUAAAACUUUCAUUCAAAUAAAAUGCAAUUACAUCACAAUCACAUCACCUAACAAAGAAGGAUUAUAACUAAAGACAAAUAACUCUAGCAUCACAAUACAUAUCCUCACUCCAAAGAGAAGAGACUGACAUGUCAAUGCAUUCAACAACGACAGCCAAAUUGAGUAGUAGUUACAUUAAAGAGUUUGUAACUUAACUGUGUAAGCGACUUACUAAUCUGUCUAAAGAAUAGAAGUGAUGUUGGCAUAAGUAAUGA
rnacentral:lncRNA from 1 species